CAUUGAUCUCUGGUUUCUGGCAUUAUAUGAAAAAAAGCUAAAACAGUUUGGAUGAGGCUUUUGUUUUGGAUAUGCAAAUAAAAAUGUAGUUCACUUUUUACAAAAAAGAAAAUCGUUACAAGCCUCAACACGAAGUGAAGCACUGGAAUAUACAUGGCCACCAUCGAGGUCUUAAUGAACAUGAGUGCUGCUAUAAAUGACACAAAGCCCGCUGGGAUUUCUCUUUCCAAAUGAAGUGUAGUGGAGGUUGAGUAUGGACUGAAGUCUGACAGAUGAACUGUGCUUAAUGGCCACUUCCAGAGAGGUCUGAUCUCCACUGGGCUGUGUACACACAUCAGCAGGUGUCUGAUUUUUUGACUCAUGAGUUCAUACCAUCUUCAUCGCACACUUUAGGAUCAAAGCAGCACAUUUGUGAGGGGUUAAACUGUCAAACUCAUGAGAGACUAGAGCCAGAUGUCAAGACCACCACACCAACACCAGCCCAGGCCUUCACAGAUGAGUCCACAGCCAGUAAAAGUAACGGUCAGGGGCUGCAUCCUACUGAGCAACUCCAAGAACCAGAAACUGAACAGAUCCCGGAGAACAAGAGGUCUGGGGGGGAUCCUGGGAAUCUCAUGACACAGAGAAGCUGUGAAUGUGGUGAUCCCCCAACCUGAUGAGAUGGGUGCUGGUUUUACAGCUGUUGUCUAUCAAGAUUCGACUGAGACAGCUGGAAGAUCACCGAAUGUUGCGCUGAAAAGCUUUGAAAGGUGAGGGAGAAUACAUGAUAACACAUUCGCUUUCAUUUCUGACACGUCACGAAUCCCCCUUAUUUCUCAACCCUUGACUGCAUUCUGAUACGUAUAGCCUACUUUUGAGAAUCCAAUCCUAUCAAAUCUGUAGUGACCUCUGUAACAGUAAUACCUCUUUUACAAUGUGCCAUUUUUGGGGUUUAUUAUAUAUGUUUUUCCUACAGCACAAACAAUAUGCAUUUGUGGAGCAAUAUUUUAUAUGUGCAUGUACACAGACACACACCUGUUAGUGUGGAUGUGUGUGUGUGCUGCAGUAAUGAUAUCUGCUGAGCUGCACACUCUAAAGUGCCCCUGGGGGAGCCAGCAGAUAAAUCAGUUUAAGCCCUGGACCCCAUUUAAAAAGGCUUUGGCAGGUUGAUGUGAUAUCCACUCCAAUACUUUACACCAGCCUCUCAUUCAGGUAAAUAGGCUCUUACUCUGGCCUGACCCACACUCUCUGCUAUCCAGUUGUGUUUAUUUCAUUAACUCAUCCGUACAGAGUUUCCAGUGACACAGGAUUUCAGCUGAUCCUGGGCUGAAGAUGAUGGCUGUGAUAGAAGGUGUCUGAUGUGCUGUGACUUAUGGGUGACGCUCAAGUGACUCUGUGGCAGUGCGGAUGGAUUCGGAUCAGGACGGUCUGUAGAUUUGGGUUUAUGGUGGCAUUCCUGUAGGUGAUCUCCAGCAGUUCAAAGACUGUUUACAACCUUAAUCAUUGAUAAAAUGGCCCCUAGCACCUAGCCCCCUACCUAGACAACAUUUUCCUGCGCUCCUGAUUCAAAGUGCACGUGAUGCUGCGUUAUACUCCACUGUACCUCAUUAUGGCCAAAUUGUUUUUUACUAUUAUUAACAUUUGUAAUAUUUUAUUUUCACACAAUAUUGUGCUAUUAUUG
ensembl:lncRNA